AUUUGACUAGCUAUCAGUUGCGAGUCAGUUCUAACCAAUAAAUGAGAAACCCAACUUCCUUGGAUAACUUUAAACCGACUAUCAUAACUUCGUAUUCUGCUUGAUAUUUUAUAGCUUAAAAGUAGAAACAAAGAGAUUGUUCUAGUAUCAAUUCUUCUGGUCCUUCUAACACUAUCCUCGUUCCACUGCCCUUGAGGUUAGAUGAGUCGUCCACUGAUAAGAU
rnacentral:lncRNA from 1 species